GACGAACGCUGGCGGCGUGCCUAAUACAUGCAAGUAGGACGCAGUUGCGAACGGGUGAGUAACGCGUAUGUAACUACCUAUUAGAGGGGGGUAACUAUUGGAAACGAUAGCUAAUACCGCAUACUCGUAGAUGGACCUGCGUUGUAUUAGCUAGUAGGUAGGGUAAUGGCCUACCUAGGCAAAGAUACAUAGCCGACCUGGGGGGGGGGUAGGCCACACCGGGACUGGGACAAGGCCCAGACUCCUACGGGAGGCAGCAGUAGGGAAACUUCGGCAAUGGGGGGAACCCUGACCGAGCCAAGCCGCGGGAGUGAAGAAGGUUUUCGGAUCGUAAAGCUCUGUUGUUAAGGAAGCGGUACUUAACCAGAAAGGGACGGCUAACUACGUGCCAGCAGCCGCGGUAAUAC
rnacentral:rRNA from 1 species